rnacentral:rRNA from 1 species
UCUGCUCAACAUUGAUUUUUUAAAUUGCUGUGGUAUUUUGACUAUACGAAGGUAUUGAAAUAAGGCUUUAAAUGAGUGCUAAGAGAAUGGUUUAACGAUUCUAAGCUUUCUUUAAUUAAAAAAUUGAAUUUAAUUUUUUUGUGAAGAAGCAAGGAUAUAAAUUAGGGACAAGAAGACCCUAUGAAUUUUGUAUUAAAUUUUGUUAUAAUUUUGUAAUUAUAACGUUUAAAUUAUUUGGGGUGAGUAGAAAAGAAUGUUUAUCUUUUUUUUUAAAAUUAAUUUGUUCCGUUUUUAACGAUUUUAUGAAAAAAAUACUCUAGGGAUAACAGCGUAAUAAUUUUGGAUAGUUCUUAUAGAUAAAAUAGUUUGCGACCUCGAUGUUGGAUUAGGAUUCUUUUUUAGUGAAGAAAUUAAAGAGAAGAAGUUUGUUCAACUUUUAAAUUCCUACUUGAUCUGAGUUCAGACCGGA